UGUAGGUCUACUUCAGUGGCGUACGGGUGCGUAACACGUGAGUGAUCUACCGGUAAGUGGGGGAUAGCCCGCCGAAAGGCGAAUUAAUACCGCAUGUGGCUCUGGGGUGUUUCACACCCCUUCGCUAAAGUCAUCUCGACGCUUUCCGAUGAGCUCGCGGCCUAUCAGCUUGUUGGUGGAGGUAAUGGCCCACCAAGGCAAUGACGGGUAGCUGGUCUGAAAGGACGAUCAGCCACACUGGAACUGAGACACGGUCCAGACACCUACGGGUGGCAGCAGUCGAGAAUUUUUCACAAUGGGGGCAACCCUGAUGAAGCAACGCCGCGUGGAGGAUGAAGGGCUUCGCGCUCGUAAACUCCUGUCAAGUGGGAACAAGAAAGUGAUAGUACCACUAGAGGA
rnacentral:rRNA from 1 species